UACGAAGGGGGCUAGCGUUGCUCGGAAUGACUGGGCGUAAAGGGCGCGUAGGCGGAUUGUACAGUCAGGCGUGAAAUUCCCUGGCUCAACCUGGGGGCUGCGCUUGAGACGUGCGAUCUUGAGUGGGGAAGAGGGUCGUGGAAUUCCCAGUGUAGAGGUGAAAUUCGUAGAUAUUGGGAAGAACACCGGUGGCGAAGGCGGCGACCUGGUCCUUGACUGACGCUGAGGCGCGAAAGCGUGGGGAGCAAACAGG
rnacentral:rRNA from 1 species